UACAGAGGGUGCGAGCGUUGUCCGGAAUCACUGGGCGUAAAGGGCGCGUAGGCGGUCGCGUAAGCGUGUGGUGAAAGCCCGGGGCUCAACCCCGGGUCGGCCAUGCGAACUGCGGGACGGAGCAGAUCAGAGGCAGGCGGAAUUCCCGGUGUAGCGGUGAAAUGCGCAGAGAUCGGGAGGAACACCCGUAGCGAAGGGCGGCGCUCUGGGCCGGU
rnacentral:rRNA from 1 species